GAGGGUGUAGCUCAGGUGGUAGAGUGCGGGCUUCACAUGCGCGAGGCCCUGGGUUCAAUCCUCAGCACCUCCU
rnacentral:tRNA from 1 species